GCUGGUGUAGCUCAGUUGGUAGAGCAUCGGUUUUGUAAACCGGUGGUCGUAGGUUCAAAUCCUAUCACCAGCUCCA
rnacentral:tRNA from 1 species